UCCCGACGGCUCAAGUGGGACUCGCAUUUAUUGGGUCUAAAACAUUCGUAGCUGGUUUCUUAAGUUUUGUGUUAAAUUACAAGGCUCAACCUUGUAGCUGCACAAAAUACUGGGAGGCUAGGGACUGGGAGACGUAGCGAGUACGGCUAGGGUAGUGGUAAAAUAUGUUAAUCCUUGCUGGACUAACAAUGGCGAAGGCACGCUACGAGAACAGCUCCGACGGUGAGGAAUGAAGGCCAGGGGCGCAAAUUGG
rnacentral:rRNA from 1 species